rnacentral:rRNA from 1 species
GACGGUACUUAAUGAAUCAGCAUCGGCUAACUCCGUGCCAGCAGCCGCGGUAAUACGGAGGAUGCAAGCGUUAUCCGGAAUCAUUGGGCGUAAAGAGUCCGUAGGUGGUUGGUCAAGUCUGCCGUCAAAGACUGGAGCUCAACUCCAGAAAGGCAGUGGAAACUGAGAAACUAGAGUCUAGGAGGGGUAGAGGGAAUUCCCAGUGUAGCGGUGAAAUGCGUAGAGAUUGGGAAGAACACCGGUGGCGAAAGCGCUCUACUGGACUAGAACUGACACUGAGGGACGAAAGCUAGGGGAGCGAAAGGGAUUAGAUACCCCUGUAGUCCUAGCCGUAAACGAUGGAUACUAGGCGUAGCUCGUAUCGACCCGAGCUGUGCCGAAGCUAACGCGUUAAGUAUCCCGCCUGGGAGUACGCACGCAAGUGUGAAACUCAAAGGAAUUGACGGGGGCCCGCACAAGCGGUGGAGUAUGUGGUUUAAUUCGAUGCAACGCGAAGAACCUUACCAAGGCUUGACAUCCGACGAAUCUGAUUGAAAGGUCAGAGUGCCUUCGGGAGCGUCGUGACAGGUGGUGCAUGGCUGUCGUCAGCUCGUGUCGUGAGAUGUUGGGUUAAGUCCCGCAACGAGCGCAACCCUCGUCCUUAGUUGCCCAUAUUAAGUUAGGAACUCUAGGGAGACUGCCGGGGACAACUCGGAGGAAGGUGGGGAUGACGUCAAGUCAGCAUGCCCCUUACGUCUUGGGCUACACACGUACUACAAUGGUCGGGACAACGAGCAGCGAAGCCGCAAGGUGUAGCGAAUCUCAACAAACCCGGCCUCAGUUCAGAUUGAGGGCUGCAACUCGCCCUCAUGAAGGCGGAAUCGCUAGUAAUCGCAGGUCAGCAUACUGCGGUGAAUCCGUUCCCGGGCCUUGUACACACCGCCCGUCACACCAUGGGAGCUGGCCACGCCCGAAGUCGUUACUCCAACCCUUUUUGGGAGGAGGACGC